rnacentral:rRNA from 1 species
GAUCCUGGCUCAGAUUGAACGCUGGCGGCAUGCCUUACACAUGCAAGUCGAACGGCAGCACGGGUGCUUGCACCUGGUGGCGAGUGGCGAACGGGUGAGUAAUGCACCGGAACGUAUCCAAUAAUGGGGGAUAACGCACCGAAAGGUGUGCUAAUACCGCAUACGCCCUGAGGGGGAAAGCGGGGGAUCGUAAGACCUCGCGUUAAUGGAGCGGCCGAUGCCGGAUUAGCUAGUUGGUGAGGUAAAGGCUCACCAAGGCGACGAUCCGUAGCUGGUCUGAGAGGACGACCAGCCACACUGGAACUGAGACACGGUCUAGACUCCUACGGGAGGCAGCAGUGGGGAAUUUUGGGCAAUGGGCGCAAGCCUGAUCCAGCCAUGCCGCGUGAGUGAAGAAGGCCUUCGGGUUGUAAAGCUCUUUCAGCCGGAAAGAAAACGCACGGGUUAAUAACCUGUGUGGAUGACGGUACCGGAAGAAGAAGCACCGGCUAACUACGUG